UACGUAGGGGGCUAGCGUUGUCCGGAUUUAUUGGGCGUAAAGAGCGUGUAGGCGGCCAGGUAGGUCUGCUGUGAAAACUCGAGGCUCAACCUCGAGACGUCGGCGGAAACCAUCUGGCUAGAGUCCGGGAAGAGGAGAGUGGAAUUCCUGGUGUAGCGGUGAAAUGCGCAGAUAUCAGGAGGAACACCGGUGGCGAAGGCGGAUCUCUGGGCCUUACCUGACGCUGGAGGCGCGAAAGCUAGGGGAGCAAACAGGG
rnacentral:rRNA from 1 species